AGAGUUUGAUCAUGGCUCAGAUUGAACGCUGGCGGCAGGCUUAACACAUGCAAGUCGAACGGUAGCAGGAGGAAGCUUGCUUUCUUGCUGACGAGUGGCGGACGGGUGAGUAAUGCUUGGGAAUCUGGCUUAUGGAGGGGGAUAACUACGGGAAACUGUAGCUAAUACCGCGUAAUAUCGAAAGAUUAAAGUGUGGGACCUUCGGGCCACAUGCCAUAAGAUGAGCCCAAGUGGGAUUAGGUAGUUGGUGAGGUAAAGGCUCACCAAGCCUGCGAUCUCUAGCUGGUCUGAGAGGAUGGCCAGCCACACUGGAACUGAGACACGGUCCAGACUCCUACGGGAGGCAGCAGUGGGGAAUAUUGCGCAAUGGGGGGAACCCUGACGCAGCCAUGCCGCGUGAAUGAAGAAGGCCUUCGGGUUGUAAAGUUCUUUCGGUAUUGAGGAAGGGAUGUGUGCUAAUAGUACACGUCAUUGACGUUAAAUACAGAAGAAGCACCGGCUAACUCCGUGCCAGCAGCCGCGGUAAUACGGAGGGUGCGAGCGUUAAUCGGAAUAACUGGGCGUAAAGGGCACGCAGGCGGUUAUUUAAGUGAGGUGUGAAAGCCCUGGGCUUAACCUGGGAAUUGCAUUUCAGACUGGGUAACUAGAGUACUUUAGGGAGGGGUAGAAUUCCACGUGUAGCGGUGAAAUGCGUAGAGAUGUGGAGGAAUACCGAAGGCGAAGGCAGCCCCUUGGGAAUGUACUGACGCUCAUGUGCGAAAGCGUGGGGAGCAAACAGGAUUAGAUACCCUGGUAGUCCACGCUGUAAACGCUGUCGAUUUGGGG
rnacentral:rRNA from 1 species